CCAGUGGCAAUGUUUAGAUCCUGGUGCAAACUUCUCCAAAGCUCAGGGGUGUUUGGCCAUGAUGCUUGGUUUAAGCCCAUCUCCAAAAAAAAAAAAAAAAAAAGUGAUAUAAGUUUUAGUCAAUGUAUGUCUGGCGCAGACAAUGGAUUUCAGCUCCAUCUCAACACAGUGCAGUAGUGGAAUGGAAAGAGUCAUAACCAAACUGUCUCCUUAUCCACGGUUAUUGAUGUCUCAAAUGGAGCUGAGUCAUUUGAAGAAGCAUAAACUGCUGCUCAAACUCACUGGUGCAGAAGCUAAGAAUUAAAUUGUCAGAAGCUUUUCCUGCAUUGAGCCAGUAGGAACCGUGAGGAGUAAUUCUCUGAUAGCAGUUACUCUUUCAAAGAUAACAAGUGACUCGUAAUUAUACCGCACAGAUAGUAUGGGGUUAAGGGUUAGAGGUAGUGUAUAAAUAAAAUUAAUAAUAGAGCACAGAGCUGGAAGACAGGAGAUCUGGGUUUUGUUCCUUACUCUCCCAUUGAUUUGCUUAGACACAGCUUCCCCAUAUCUCAGUUUACACCAUCUGUAACAUGGGGAUAAUACUGCUUAUCUAACAACCAGUGAAUGUGUGGGGCUCAAUUAACUGAGAAAUGUUUAUAGAGCAUUUUGAAAUUCUCUACUGAAGGACACUGUGGUGGUUCUAAUUUUUGCUCUUAUUAUGGCAGGGAUGGGCAAACUACAGCCCGCAGGCCGGAUCUGUCCCGCCAGCCAUUUUAAUCCGGUCCUUGAGCUCCAGCUGGGGAGCAGGGUCAGGGGCUGCUCCACAUGGCUCCCGGAAGCAGCGGCAUGUCCCCGCUCUGGCGCCUACAUGUAGGGGCAGCCAGGAAGCUCCACUCUGCAUGCUCCCACCCCACCGCCCCGCAGCUCCCAUUGGCCAGGAACCGCACCUCUGCAUAGGAGCCGGAGAAGGGACAAGCUGCUGUUUUUAGGAGUCACUUGAGAUUCCAAACUGCCAUUACCUAGUCUGAUCAUCUGUAACAGGCACCAUCACAAAAUGGAAGCUCAUAGUCUAGAAUCUUCCUAAGAAACAUACUGUACCUCUCUCUUACAGAGCACUCUUGGAACACUCUGCGUUAGAGCUGAAUGAAGCCGUGCGGAGAAACAGAGAGACUGAAAAAUGCAGCAUCAGUCAACCUGAAAGUAUUCAUGAACUUGACACUAAUUCACCACAUAGUUUCAGCUCAAAAAAGGUAUUUAUUUGUGGGGAUUCAGAUGGAAAGUGGCAGCAGCCUCCCUUCUAACUUUUAGCCCAGUGAUUAGGGCACUCACCUUGGCUCUGCAGGAGACCA